rnacentral:tRNA from 1 species
UCCAGGGUAGCCUAGUGGACAUGGCAUCUGCCCGGUAAGCGGAACAUAGUGGGUUCGAUUCCCAUCCCUGGAC